ACCGUUUGCAAGAAUUUUAUCAACCCAAGCUGGGGUUAGUUUGUUUAUUUUUCAUUCGUUUUUGGAGUAAUGUUUUGACUCCUUGGCUCUGAAAUUAAGCCACAAAAAAAAAAAAGCUACCAUUCCAUAAAGAAACCUACUCCACAAUUCCACGGCUCGCAAUACUCCCACAAACACUGGGGCUCUCCUCCUACUGUGCUCUUGCUGCAGUGCAGACUGCUGCCACCUGCCCUCAAAGAAGAAAUAUUACAGUUCACGUUUGGAAGACAUCUCACCACACUAUGGAUUUAAUCCUGGUUAAGUAUGUUGCCUGUGGCACCCUUAAACACGUGAGUGGCUUAUCAAUUUUCCCCUACUCACCUUCCAUCAUUCCAUUAAUUAUUUCUUCUAAUUUAUAUCCCUCUCUCUUUUUUUGCAGUUGCAAUUUACUGACGUCAUGUCUCACAUGCAUGCCUAACAUUGGACCUGGAUGUGGAUGAGGAGGAAGCAAAUAGAAAAACACAUGAGGUUUUUUCAGCACUUCAUAGUUUUUUGACAUCGAAAUAAUUUCUUCUAUGCCAUUGUCAGUGUAUCACCUCCACACUUCCCAGAGCUACAAAUCUAAACUCAUGCUUUAUCUUGGCCCUGGUAUUUUGAUUCCAUUCUGACCACCAGGGAUCUGAAUGCUGCUCAGCUCCAUGCAAGAUAACAUAUUUAUCAGCAUAUGACACGCACAUUUAACUCCUGAAAAGCUUUCUGUUAAAGACGGAAGAAAGAGUGAAGAUAAUGUUGAAGAUAAAGUUCUUAAAGGGUCCCAGUAGGUUGCAGUUUGCGCAGUCCUCCUUGAUAUAUCAAUCCCCCUUCAAAUCACAGUGUCCCUUUCACAGUCACGUUCUAAAGAUCAUGCACUUACCCUGAGGAGGAGCAAUGGUCCUGCCAGAAGCCGAUGCUGGAGGGUCUUGAAUGCAGCUUUCUGUUAAAGACGGAAGAAAGAGUGAAGAGUCAAGCUCUAUGAUUUUGACCCCUGCUGCUGAAUCCAGGGACAUCCUCUGCCAGAAGGACAUCUCUUAGCUCCGCCUCCCACUCUCGCAACUUGAUAGGCUUUCCUCGGUUUUGUCCUAGUCGAAGCCUCUGCAUCUUCUUUGUAACCGUUGCCCGACAAUCAUAGAACCUGCAAAUGUACAUAAACAUUACAAUUACAUUAAUAAAAAAACAAAUACUUAGAUUAAUGUUUUUUGAAAACCACAUUUCUUUUCACAUUGUGAUGGUUAUAUGUAUACUGUUCAGCAUGUGGCUGUGACAAAUAAAUUUUUUGGUUACGUUGAACUGUUA